rnacentral:rRNA from 1 species
GAUGAACGCUAGCGGCAGGCUUAACACAUGCAAGUCGAGGGGUAUAGGUUUUCGGACCUAGAGACCGGCGCACGGGUGCGUAACGCGUAUGCAAUCUACCUUUCACAGAGGGAUAGCCCAGAGAAAUUUGGAUUAAUACCUCAUAGUAUAAUUGAAUGGCAUCAUUUAAUUAUUAAAGUCACAACGGUGAAAGAUGAGCAUGCGUCCCAUUAGCUAGUUGGUAAGGUAACGGCUUACCAAGGCGACGAUGGGUAGGGGUCCUGAGAGGGAGAUCCCCCACACUGGUACUGAGACACGGACCAGACUCCUACGGGAGGCAGCAGUGAGGAAUAUUGGUCAAUGGGCGCAAGCCUGAACCAGCCAUGCCGCGUGCAGGAUGACGGUCCUAUGGAUUGUAAACUGCUUUUGUACAGGAAGAAACACUGGUUCGUGAACCAGCUUGACGGUACUGUAAGAAUAAGGAUCGGCUAACUCCGUGCCAGCAGCCGCGGUAAUACGGAGGAUCCAAGCGUUAUCCGGAAUCAUUGGGUUUAAAGGGUCCGUAGGCGGUCAGAUAAGUCAGUGGUGAAAGCCCAUCGCUCAACGGUGGAACGGCCAUUGAUACUGUCUGACUUGAAUUAUUAGGAAGUAACUAGAAUAUGUAGU